UGGGGAGCGCUGGAUCCUGGGCUGUGUCCCAGCACCCUGUGCUCCCGGGCCUGCGCUGGUGGAAUCGCGCUCCUGGCGGCGCAGCCCCCU
rnacentral:pre_miRNA from 1 species